rnacentral:rRNA from 1 species
GUGAGGAAUUUUCCGCAAUGGGCGAAAGCCUGACGGAGCAAUGCCGCGUGAAGGAUGAAGGCCUAUGGGUUGUAAACUUCUUUUCUCAGAAAAGAAUUAUGACGGUAUCUGAGGAAUAAGCAUCGGCUAACUCUGUGCCAGCAGCCGCGGUAAGACAGAGGAUGCAAGCGUUAUCUGGAAUGAUUGGGCGUAAAGCGUCUGUAGGUUGUUUAAAAAGUAUUCUGUCAAAGAUUAGGGCUUAACCCUAGAUAGGCAGAAUAAACUUUUAAGCUAGAGUUUGGUAGAGGCAGAGGGAAUUCCCGGUGGAGCGGUGAAAUGAGUAGAUAUCGGGAGGAACACCAAAGGCGAAGGCACUCUGCUGGGCCAAUACUAACACUGAGAGACGAAAGCGAGGGGAGCAAAUGGGAUUAGAAACCCCGGUAGUCCC